UGUUCUAGAAGCGUCUCCUCCUGAUUGCAGUGCAGUUGAAGUGCAAAAUGUCAUGCAGCAUGAAGGUUCGGCUAAAAGUCAGGUUCCCCUAACUUCUUUUAAGGGUGAAUUAACAUCAGCUGGGGACAGUGUCCAGGCUAUUGGAGAACAUCAGCUUGUUGCAUCAUAAGAGUCUCUAGAGAAACCCAAAAGAGAUGAAGUCAAAAGAAGCAUACACGAUGAAGUAAAAUCAGAUGGGGGCUAUGCUUUGGAUAUCAGAGAAUUUCACCUUGCUGCAUCAGAAGUCUCUCCUUCAGAAAACAACAUGGCUGAAGUGCAAGGGGCUGCACAAGAAGAAUCGUUACCUCUAGAUGGAGUUGAGGAAAAUUCAAACAAGGGUGACUUUGUUUCCACAGAGCAGUCCCAAUUCUAUGUCACAAAUUAAUCCUUG
rnacentral:lncRNA from 1 species